AUACGUAGGGUGCGAGCGUUGUCCGGAAUUACUGGGCGUAAAGAGCUCAUAGGUGGUUUGUCGCGUCGUCUGUGAAAUUCCGGGGCUUAACUCCGGGCGUGCAGGCGAUACGGGCAUAACUUGAGUACUGUAGGGGAGACUGGAAUUCCUGGUGUAGCGGUGAAAUGCGCAGAUAUCAGGAGGAACACCGGUGGCGAAGGCGGGUCUCUGGGCAGUAACUGACGCUGAGGAGCGAAAGCAUGGGUAGCGAACAGGAUUAGAUACCCUGGUAGUCCAUGCCGUAAACGGUGGGCGCUAGGUGUAGGGGUCUUCCACGACUUCUGUGCCGUAGCUAACGCAUUAAGCGCCCCGCCUGGGGAGUACGGCCGCAAGGCUAAAACUCAAAUGAAUUGACGGGG
rnacentral:rRNA from 1 species